GGAUCCCUUGGAGAAGAAGGCCACCAUUAGUAGGGAUGUGGUCUUUGAUGAAAAUUUAAUUCUAAAGAUAUAAGAGGCCAUAGAGGAGCAGCAGGAGGUCCAACUAGCCAUGGUUGGAUAACUAACCUUUUACUCUGUUUUACCUUUUGCAGGUGCACCAGGAGGACAUGAAAUUCAGCUGGAGCACCAUUCAAAAGUGUCUCCACAUG
rnacentral:lncRNA from 1 species